rnacentral:lncRNA from 1 species
AGAGUUGAGAAAGCACCGUCCCCCAGACACGCACUAAAAUUUCUCUGGAACCAGUAAAAUAGAAUCCCAAGCCCAGUUGGGCAGAAGGGAAAACAACUCGGUUCUAAAUGCCAGGAAAAAGUGCCGGGGGAGCAACCAUCAAGCUGGGUCCCUUGAAAUGCUGAAAAAGGUGGGAUAAUUAACUAGUCCGCCAACCCCCUUUGCCAGUGACGUCUGCCCUGUUGUUCGAUUGGAUUUUUAAAAGAAAAGAGAGAGGAAAAAAAAGGGCCAGUUGAUCGACAUGGAUUUCGGCCAAUUACUACAGGAAGGUGGGGCAUGACCGGUGAAGUCAACUAUCAAUCGGAUUUCAGAGACGGAUACGAAGGCGGGGCCUAGCGGGUUCCGUUCGACGCUGGAUAGGCGGAGCUGAAAAGGAGAGGAAGAUGGCGGAGUGAGAAGCUGCGGUUCCCGCUGCGGCCGCGGCUGCGGCUGCCGGGAGCCCGCGGUGGCCGGGGUUGACCAGCCCUGGUCAGCGGCCGGCUAGUCUUGACAGCUCAGGUUCCUUAUCCUAGACACAACAAUUUUCUUGUGGUAUUUAUGUUGUCGUCAUCUUGAAUGGAAAACGGAAUCCAUAGCUCAGGAUUUAGUAGGUUCUUUAGAAGGAAAAAGACAUUCAUUUGAAUCAUUCUAUCCUUCACUGUUUUCUCAGGUGAUCCUGCUUCUUUUAUGUAACUGCAGUCCUUGGUCUUGACAUGUGGAUCUAUCUCCUCUCUACUUAACUCCAUGGACCAGAAUGGAAAAAAUUUCUUCACUUCAUGUUCCACUUCUCAAAUACAGCACAUUUAGCUUGUUAGGUGGCUUCUUCCUUGGUGCCAUUUAGCUGGCAUCAUGCCAAUUCAUCCAGGAAAAAAGAGGCAAUUGAUGUUGGUACUCAGCAGCAGAGAGAAAGGAUUUUUUUUUCAAAUGAAGCAUAAUAUUUAGAUUGCUGUCAGGCGUUUAUAUAAAGCUUUUCAAGAAUACACAGUAAGAAGUCAAAAUGUGUGCUGGGGCUAUUUGUAUCCUGUUUGAACUAGCAUAAAAUUACACAUAUGCAUAAUUACAGCAGAAAAUCUUAUAUUUCAAUACAAGAAAGUACAUUUCAGAUCUGAAUCCUAAUUAAUUCCAUUACACAGAUUUCUUAAUCCAGAACAAAGGGCCAACUUUGUAGAUACUCCUGUGAUGUGGUGGUAAGUAAAGCAGCUUAUGUACAGUACAAUGUCCCUGCAUUU